AAUUAAAGGUCUUCGGUUUCUUGUACGAUGCUUCAAAUCCGUUUUCAGGAUUUUACGACGUCGCCUCGGCCCUCCAGGCGGAAACGAAGCCUAAACGUCCGUUUCUUUAAUAACUUCGCAACGGCUCGUCGGAUUGCCGAACCGUUUUCGCCAACGCGUUUCGUUACCUAGCAAUUAGGUUUACGAAGGGUCAAAUGAGAUCAAACCCUCAUACUUUGAAAGUUAGCAUUUUGAGCCCUAGGUUUACAACUUUGCAAGAAAUCAUUAAAUUGCUCUAUGAUUCAAGCAUUAAUCAUCUAUUAGGCAUCAAUGGGUUCCACUAAAACCAUUUACAAAGCAUUUAGACCUAUCUUUAGAGAUCUACCAUUAAAGCCCUCAUUUUGGAGCUCUAGGUUUCAAUAGGUAAAAAUCCACCAUUAGAACUUAGGAUCUAAGCAUAACUCAUCUACUUAGCAUCUAGGAAAGCUACUAAUUCGUUUCUAGAGCUUAAAGCCCAAGCAAUAGAGAAAUGCCAUUAAAGCUCUUAAAGCUUACCUUCAAAGCAUGCUCCAAUGGAGAGGAAGAAGAUGAAGUUGAUGAAGAUCAACUUCCAAGCUUACUUCUCCACCAAAACCCUCUCUUUUUGGGAGAGAUUUAGAGAGAGAAAAGGAGGGUUCUCUUCCUCCCUCUCUCCAUGCGUGUGUGUGUGGGUCGUGUGCGUGUGUGGGGUGCGGCCGAAGGAGAAGAAGAAGAAGCUGCUGCUUCUCUUAUAAUUAAACCCCUCAAAACACUAUUCAUCCCGGGCAGCUUGAAAUCUGAUAUUUUUCGCCGGAGCUCCCUGAAUGUCCGUUUGAGCUCAAACUUGACAGUCAUGUUCGGUUUUACAUAACUUAACAAGCUGACGAUCGCUGGUUCAGUUUCGACCCCGUUUGGUCACUGAAAACUGUACCGAACUGUAAUCUUUAUCAGAUAGGUGUCGGAUUUUAUUUCUCACUCUACGGGUGUCAGAAAAAUAUGAAACCUUAAAUCUAGCCUCAUAAAAAUAUUUUUGACAUCUCUGCCAAUUUUCAUAAUUUUCUGAGACUGUGCAUUUUCUGCUAAUUUAUCUGCCCCGUUUCCAACAGAAAAUUCUAAAUCUUCUGUUUUAAUUCCGAUUUCAACACAGGUCAUUCCCAACUUAUAUUUCACUUUUCUAAAUUCAAUAAAAAUAGUAUCUCAGACUAUUUUUAUUUAUUUCUAUUUUUAUAUUUAAAUCCGGUAUAUUACAUUACACCGCAACCUUACCGGAACCAUUCAAAUGGCUCUCCAACCAAAUGGACACCGUAACCUCAUGAUUUUAGAAGUCCGGUACCUUACAUUCUCCCCUUCUUAAUAAGAGUUUCGUCCCCGAAACUCAAAUCACUCCUUAACUCGACUUAUCGAGCAAUCGGAAAUUCCAAUGCACUUUUCCACCUCGGAGUGGCCUUUCACUUAUUAGAACUGUUCAAAGGCCCACCUCGGAGGAUGUGGGACUAGAUAUGCUCACAUUUGCUAUGUGCAACAUCAAAAGUGCAUUAUCUUCGAGCUCUCCAGCUCCUCCACAGAGCCACCGGCUGAACCGAUUACGUCGGCUUCCACAAGUGGACCAACGGUCCCAAAUACUACGUAGGCCCGGCGCCUAAACCUGUCGCAACUACGCAUAGCGUCUCUCGCUCGCAUCGCAGACCCAAUCAUAACCGGGCGAAAUUCUCACUUGGGAAUUCGCACACACUCCAACCAGGAGCAACCAAGACCCCAAACCACGUCAAGUCCUCGGGUUGGGUCACAUUCAAACUUGGCGCAUCAUCGGUCACACGACCUACGCAUAGCAUUCCACGCUUUCCGGGUCUAAGCUCGGACUACCGCCCCGACCAAAACUCUGCCCUACCUAUAGGUAUCGGGGCGCUGUCACUCACAGCUGACUGUGCCUGCCCAAUGGGCUCAGGCUCCACAGUCCACAAAUGGUCCAGGCAUGGGUCGUCCCUAAGCACUACCCGUUAACGUCAUCCUACACGACAUGCUCUAUAGAGCUACGCACUCUAACGGCUCCUAGGCACCUAGUGCGAGCCACCAGCCCUACGAGUGAUCCAUGGCCCGCUUCACACUUAGCCCUGCUGAAGUGCUACUGCCAAUUCACUCCCGGCUGAAUCGAAACCGCACUUCACGAGUACUACACUCGAGCGCUCUACACAAGCCCGGCAUUAGGCAACUCUGCCUAAGCGCACUAACAACACGAGCAUGACUCGCCCAAUAAUAGCCACCAGCAAUUUGCUAGUGCCAACAAGCUCGCUACCUGCAACAGCAGGCGCUACACUCUCACCGCAUAAGCACGCUCGGGUGUCUACGCUAACCCGUCCACUUGGUCCCUACUACAGUAACACAUACAAGUAGUAGCCAAUGACCACAAGAAAACGCAUACAAUUUCUUAAGUCUACAUCAUGCAGAAACGUGUGAUUGCCUCAAUUAAAUCAUACCUGCCACGAUGUCACGCUCCUCGACCUCAACAGGUCCCUCUAACUGAGCUGCAACCGCUCGACCGCUCGGAGCCGACCGGGUCACCUCGAGCUGACGCGGCGCCAUCGCACAUCCCACCGAUACAGCAGCUGGCGGAACUCCACCAAACUGCCUCGGAGCCACUGGGGCGAACGUAACAAAUGGUGCAGGCGACGCUCCCUCUGGGCAGUAACGGCUUAUAUGCCCCGCCCGACCACACCUGAAGCACCGUCCCGCCCUAUGCUGACAAUUUCCUGCGCGAUGCUCUCCACCGCAGAUCACACAUCGCCUAGGUCCAUAGCCAUCGGACCACCUGACCCGAUACUUCGGGGGCUUUUGGGAACUAAACUGUCCCCCCGAACUACCGCCAGGUCGUUUCUUUACCCCACUCUCCUUGAGCGCCUCGCGUUCCUGUCUCACUUCCCCAGCUGCCGCAUCGAGUAUCGUAGGACCCGAAGACGCCAGAGGAACACUAACCGACGGGGAAUGUACAGCCAUCGGAACCGCUGCCAGGCCCUCACCCUCAGCCGCAUCAAGCGCGCGAAUCGAGGGCGCGGGCAGACCACGACCUUCAGUCGUCGUCGCGGCCGCCGCCGCUACCAGCUGCUCCAAACACUCCAGGAGCCGCUCGAUCAAAGCCCCUUGGUGUUGAACCACGCCAACUAGUGCAGUCAUCUGCGCCCACAGUUCUUGCACUUCGCUUGAUCCAACUUGUUUUGGCACCUCAGCAGGCUGUGCCGGAACGGAUCUACGCACGUAGUGUCUCAUUGGUGCCAUUAGCUCCUGAAACACAAGAACUUGGUUAAUCACCUUAGCCCAUUAACUUCGCCUUAACAGCGAAACAACGCGACUCAAUCGGGCGAAAGUCACACAAGGGCGUCUAUUCUCAUAAAUUGGUUUUAUGUUGUCACGCGCCAACAUGAACACACUUGGCUGAGAAUACACCACACCUUGAAUCUACCUCUAAUAUCCGUCUUAGAGGUUUACAAAACUUGAUCCAAUCGAUUCAACUUCCGCCACCAUAUAGGUUCACGUUCCACUCACGCACCUAUAACCUUAGGGUUCACCGUCCUAGGGUCUCCUAGGUCCAUCCUAGACUCUCUCUCUUUGCUUGCUCUUAACUCGCUCUGAUACCACCACUGUCACGCCCCCGCCCCGAGGCCGCUACCGAAUUUGGCACGGUUCCGGCGCGUAUCGACGAACGGAGCGAAGGACAGAGUCUCCCCUGUCCGCCAAGGCUCAAAUGACGAGAUGUGUACAACAAGAUUCCCAGGGAAACACUUGAAUACAUAACAAUCAUAACAACACGAUAAAGCACAAACAGUGCUGAACAAUACAAGAGCAAGCGUCACGAGUAGUAGAAACAACGUGAAACAAAAGAGGAUACUUAACUAUUCUUUACAACAUUCAACUCGAUAUUCAUUUAAUUACACAUUGCAUUCUUUUCAAACUAUGAUAUAAGCUUACAUUUUCAAAGAUAAACAUUAGUUUCAUUUAUCUCAAAAUACCUCACAUCCUAUACAUUAUCUACUCUCAUACAUGUAUAGGGUAACUCUAAUGCAAAAUAGGAAAGUAACUAGCCAACUAGCAACUAGGGCGCUAAGCCCAUACGCGCAUCCUCUACGAUCCGCUCUGUGUGUACUGUACCCAAAACCACAGCGGGUGAGAACUAUAAUAAAUAUAGUUCCCAGUGGGUUCGGCCGCCGCAUUCCGCCGAUCUUCCCAUAGGUCCAAGUGCACAGAUAGAUAGAUAGAAAGAUAUAUGGAAAUACUACUACUAUACUACUUAUGCCAUCAAAUGCAAAGUUGCAAUGGAACAUCAUCUAGCAACAAUCUACUAUCAUGCUAAUAUGCCUCAACAGUGAAUGAAUACAAACACAACAUAGUUAUGCAGUGUCUAUGUCUAAUCAUGGAUAUGAAUGCAAUGCUCUUAUUGUAUUCAUGUUAUUACCCAAUCCGCUAGGCUACUUUGCCUAAGAUCUCAAAUCUAGUAGGUGAAAAGCUAGUGCCUCAUUUUUCUCACUCGCUCAUAUCUCAAAGGUCUGACCAAUCUGUGAGUCCCAGCAAAGAUUACCCCGCCCCUCCCCGACUCACAUCUCAAGUCCUAGGCAAGGCUACCCCGCACUUUGCCCAACUCACAUCUCAAGUCCUAGGCAAAGGUAACCCGCACUUUGCCCGACUCACAUCUCACCUACUAGGUAUAGGCUACUCAGGCUCAAAUCUCAUAGGUGAAGGAAUAGUAUGUCCACCACUGUAUGUAGAGCAAAUCCACUAAUCAACACCAAGCGACUAUACUCAAUGGUCGAUACAAUCAUAGUAAAGGCUAGUCUACCAUUACCACGUAGGUUCUCCUAAUAAGAGCUAUCAUUAUGAUCAUCCAUACGCCGUAAGCUAAAGCCAAUAUGAACAACAAUAAUGAGUAUGACUCAAUAGGUAACCAAAUCUCGUGGUGAACACAAGGUUCACAAGCAAGGCUCACAUAUCAAUCUCCGAGGGAUGCCUAGCUGGACUAUCCCCGAGUACGCCUGCGGAUAACAAGCGGCUAUCCGAGCAGCAAGCAGGGCUGCCUCUCUAGUGACCAAUCUCCGGAGCGCACAACUUGAGGGGAGCGACUCCACCAAGCGCAGACAGGCAAUGUGAGCAUGAUCAACUCACGAGCAACAACAACCCUUAGAGGGUAAUCUUAGCAUAGAUCAACAGUUCUUGUACCCAAUCUCAUAGUGUUUCAACUACACUAAUGUUCUCAUGUCAAGGUUAUCAACAAUCAUAUGCCUCACAUCAUAGUUUUCUAUAACUAGAUGCCACUUGUCAUAGUUUUCUAAACUAGAUGCCACUCGUCAUUUAGACUCAUUUCAACACUAGUUACAUCAUACUAGUUCUUAGCAACUUAAGCAUUAAUCAUCUCACAUAGGGUCUAGGUCCUUAUCAUAAAGUUUUCAUCAUAUAAUCAUCAUGCAUACUAGAUCAUGAAUCAAUCAUCAAGAUGUAUAGCCACUAGCAUGCAAAUAUGAGCAAUGACCAUAAUCAUUUAGCAUCUAAAUGCAAUGAAUACGAUAUGCAACUUGAUCGAUUAAUGUACUCAACUAUGGUUUAAUCCACAUUAAUCAUGCCCUUACAGGGUUUCACCACACUAAGUCCCAAUCUCAUGCAUACUAGGUACAAGUAUUAAUCAAGUAACACUACACUCCCACUAGCAUGCCAUGACAUGUAACAAUUGCCAACUAGUACCCUAUAAAGCAAUAUCCCAAUAUGCAACUUGAUCAAUGUUAACUAGAGUUUCUAUAGUACAACAACCAAUCCAUUACUAAGUUCAAGUCAUAUGUGUUUUUAGCACAAUAAGUUCAAUGCCACUUGUAAACUAUGUCUUUAAACACAACACUAGGUUCUCUCUCAUUUAGCAUCAUAGGUUUACCAAUGUCAUCUCAUAAUCCUUAUGUCCAUUACAUCGUAUAUCCAUAUCAUAAUACUAUAUUGAUCAUAAGCAUCAUAUAAGGAUUAGGAAUGCAUGUAUUGUCAUCCUAUAAUGCAGUGGUAUCGUAUACAAUAUGCUACAUGUUAUAUGGAUAAGUACUUAAACUGGAAUUAAUCUCGGUGAUGGCACCCCCAUUUAUCGGUUUCGGAUUGUGAUUUUCAUUCCCGCGGCGCCGCGCUCGGAUUACCAAUCGGCGCGCGGCACAAACGACCUUCGAUAGCGAUUGGAAUUAAAGGUCUCAGGUUUUUGUCACGAUGCUUCAAAUCGUUUUCCAGGAUUUCGAGUCGCCUCGGCCUCAGGCAGGAAACGAGUGUGUUUAACGUCGUUUCUUUAAUAUCUUUGUAACGGUCGUGGAUUGCGAACCCGUUUCGCCAUGAGCGUUUUGUUACUAGCAAUUAGUUUUACGAAGGGUCAAAUGGAUCAAAUCCUAUUAUUUUGAAAGUUACCUUUAGCGACGGUAUUACAAUAUGCAAGAAAUCAUUUUAGAAAUGUGUCUAUGAUUCAAGAUUAAUCAUUUUAGGCUUCAAUGUGGUUCACUAAUACCUUCAAAGAUUUAGACCUCUCUUUUAGAGAUUAACAAUUAAAGCUAUUUGGGUUCAAUAGUAUACCUUAGAAUUAGGAUCUAGAAUAGACCCAUUUCUUAGCAUCUGGAGAAGCUACAAAUUUCGUUUCUAGAUUAAAACUGUGUAUAGUUUGAAUGCCAUUAAAGUUUAAGCUUACCUUCAAAGGCAUGCAAUAGAGGAGGAAGAAGAUGAAGUUGAUUUGAGAUCAUAUUCUGUCUUACUUCUCCACAAAUCCAUCACAAUUUUAGGAGAGAUUUAGAGAGAGAAAGGGAGCUUUAGAGAGAGAGAGGGAGAGUUUCUCUCUCCUUCAUUCCAUGCGUGUGUGCGUGUGAUGCUUGGGUGUGCACGGUUGAGGGGAGAAGAAGAAGCUGUUGCUUCUCUUAUAAUUAACACCCCUCAAAACACUAUUCAUCCCGGGCAGCUUGAAAUCUGAUAUCUUUCGCCGAAGCUCCCUGAAUGUCCGUUUGAGCUCAAACUUGACAGUCAUGUUCGGUUUUACUUAACUUAACAAGCUGACGAUCACUGGUUCAGUUUCGACCCCGUUUGGUCACUAAAAACUGUACCGAACUGCAAUCUUUAUCAGAUAGCUUUCGGAUUUUAUUUCUCACUCUACGGGUGUCAGAAAAAUAUGAAACCUUAAAUCUAGCCUCAUAAAAAUAUUUCUGACAUCUCUGCCAAUUUUCAUAAUUUUCUGAGACUGUGCAUUUUCUGCUAAUUUAUCUGUCCCGUUUCUCACAGAAAAUUCUAAAUCUUCUGUUUUCGCUCCGAUUUCAGCACAAGUCAUUCCCAACCUAUAUUUCACUUCUAUAAAUCCAAUAAAAAUAGUAUCUCAUACUAUUUUUAUUUAUUUUUAUUUUUAUAUUUAAAUCCGGUAUAUUACAUUACACCGCAACCUCACCGGAACCAUUCAAAUGGCUCUCCAACCAAAUGGACACCGUAACCUCAUGAUUUUAGA
rnacentral:lncRNA from 1 species